GUGCUUGCUUUGGUAACCCAUAUACUAAAAUUGGAAGGGUACAGAGAAGAUUAACAUAGCCCCUGCUCCAGGAUGACAUGCAAAUUUGUGAACCUUUCCAUGUUUUU
rfam:Erinaceus europaeus unplaced genomic scaffold scaffold00059, whole genome shotgun sequence